GCCGGCCCGGAGGACGCGGCUGUGGACGGCAGGAAACCCAAAUUUCAUUUAAAUAUCAAGACACUGACAGAUGAUAUGUUGGAUAGAUUUGCCAGCAUAAGGAUUCCAGGCAGUAGAAAAGAAAGACCUCCUUUAUUGCAGCUGAAACAAUCACAUUCCUCUAUUGAUUGGUCAUCACCUCCUGCAGAUGUGGAUGAGUUCAUCCCCAAACCCUUGUCAGAGCGAGAAAUCCUAGCACUUUUUGA